rnacentral:rRNA from 1 species
AUUGAACGCUGGCGGCAGGCCUAACACAUGCAAGUCGAACGAGUGGCGGACGGGUGAGUAAUGUCUGGGAAACUGCCUGAUGGCGGGGGAUAACUACUGGAAACGGUAGCUAAUACCGCAUACCAUCAGAUGUGCCCAGAUGGGAUUAGCUAGUUGGUGGGGUAAUGGCUCACCAAGGCGACGAUCCCUAGCUGGUCUGAGAGGAUGACCAGCCACACUGGAACGGAGCCACGGUCCAGACUCCUACGGGGGGCAGCAGUUGGGAAUAUUGCACAAUGGGCGCAAGCCUGAUGCAGCCAUGCCGCGUGUAUGAAGAAGGCCUUCGGGUUGUAAAGUACUUUCAGCGGGGAGGCGUUACCCGCAGAAGAAGCACCGGCUAACUCCGUGCCAGCAGCCGCGUAAUUC